ACAGACAGAACACUAUAUACAUAAUAACUAAAUAAAUUAGUAAACCUAAAAAAAGAAAGAAAAACUAAAAACAAAAAAAUCAAGAAGAAAAGAAAAUAUCCUAAUUUAAGACUUGGUUCUGUUAAUAUGAAAACUUCACCGAAACCAUUUUCCUGACGGCGCAUAAUAUUUGGGGUAUUCUAAAUCUGUGCUCCCAGACACAGCCACUCAUAUUCAGCUCCAAAAUAAACCAUCUCAUUCGUUUUGAGGUAGGAGCUGUUUUUUUCUGGUUAUCAGUUUGAUUUUUAUUUUACUUAGUCUUGCUGUGUAGCCCAGGCCGGCUUUGAACUCUCAGUCCCCUGCCUCCACUCUUGAGUACUGGGAUUACAGAUGUGCAUAGCCAUGCUUGACUUGUACCUACAGGGUGUCAUUUUCAUUCAUCAUGGCUGUCCUGUGUGUUUUCUAAGGACCAGCUUCCCCGAUGUCUGUCUCUCUGUGUGCCCAGGAGGGAAUGCCCAUCAUGCCUCCCUGCAGACUUGGAUACUCCUAGGACAGACAUACAUGCUCCAUUCCUCUCAGUUGGAGGUCCUGUCUGUCCCAGCAGGGUCCCGAUAUAAAGGUCCUUCGGGCCUUCUGCAAGUGCUCCUCUUCCUGUCCUUAGACCAAAGCGGCACUCCUCUUCCAGUCCUGGAGGUGUCUGUGACCACGGCUCCUUGAAGUGUCUACGUUUUCACCCAAGGAGAGCUACUCACAUUUUCCCCAAUUUAAACUUCUCACCACAGAGCGGCGUGACGCCGUGUCCUUUUCGGGAGAGCUGCAGAAGACGCCAAGAGAGAAGCGUGUUGCGGGUGACCUUCUGAGAUCCCCAAGGGGAACACACACAGAGAACAUGUCCUCACCUACCCAGGCAGGCCCUCCCGACAACGGGGAGGACACAAGGUGUGUGGUCACCAUGCCACACCCCAGGGACUCUGCAGCCACCUUUAAGGUGUCCCCCCAAGUGACAGAGGGCAUCUGUAUUUUCAUUAUUGCUGUGACAAAAUAUCUCACAGAAGCAACUUAAGGAA